ensembl:lncRNA
AGAAUCUACCACCCCACUACCAUUAUCAUAUUAGAGCCAUAAGGGACACUAGACAUCCACCACCCUACAUCCACUAUCAUAUUAGAGCCAUAGGGGACACUCGUGAUCUACCACCCCACUACCACUAUCAGAUUAGAGCCAUAAGGGACACUAGGAAUCUACCACCCCACUACCACUAUCAGAUUAGAGCCAUAAGGGACCCUAGGAAUCUACCACGCCACUACCACUAUCAGAUUAGAGCCAUAAGGGACACUAGGAAUCUGCCACCCCACUACCACUAUCAGAUUAGAGCCAUAAGGGACACUAGGAAUCUACCACCCCACUACCACUAUCAGAUUAGAGCCAUAAGGGACACUAGACAUCCACCAACCUACUACCAUUAUCAUAUUAGAGCCAUAAUGGACAUUAGGAAUCCACAACAAAACUAUCACGAUCAGGUAAGAGCCAUAAGGGACCCUAGGAAUCUACCACCCCACUACCACUAUCAGAUUAGAGCCAUAAGGGACACUAGGAAUCUACCACCCCACUACCACUAUCAGAUUAGAGCCAUAAGGGACACUAGGAAUCUGCCACCCCACUACCACUAUCAUAUUAGAGCCAUAAGGGACACUAGGAAUCUACCACCCCACUACCACUAUCAGAUUAGAGCCAUAAGGGACACUAGGAAUCUGCCACCCCCACUACCACUAUCAGAUUAGAGCCAUAAGGGACACUAGGAAUCUACCACCCCACUACCAUUAUCAUAUUAGAGCCAUAAGGGACACUAGACAUCCACCACCCUACUACCACUAUCAGAUUAGAGCCAUAAGGGACACUAGGAAUCUACCACCCCACUACCACUAUCAGAUUAGAGCCAUAAGGGACACUAGGAAUCUACCACCCCCCACUACCACUAUCAGAUUAGAGCCAUAAGGGACACUAGACAUCCACCACCCUACUACCAUUAUCAUAUUAGAGCCAUAAGGGACACUAGGAAUCUACCACCCC